AUGAGAGCAGUGAUAGGAAUAACUCUUUUCCUAACUUUGGGUGUUACGAGUGAUGCCAAGUCCACACAGCCAGAUGCCAUGGAGAGUACUGAAGGAGAAACGGUGCAUCUGCCCUGUAACCACUCCACAAUCAGUACAAAUGAGGGCAUAUACUGGUAUCGACAGAUUCCCCGCCAGGGUCCAGAGUACGUGAUUCAUGGUUUAAAAGGUGAUGUGACAAAAGGAAUGGUCUUACUGAACAUCAGAGCAGACAGAACAUCCAGCACCUUGAUCCUGCCCCAGGUUACCCUGAGAGACUCCGCCGUGUACUACUGCAUCGUGAGAGAGCCACAGUGAGAUUCAUGGGGCUGCACCUGCACAAUAUCUCCCUGGAGGGAUGAGAAGCAGCAGCAACGUCUAAAGAGGAUACUGCACAAGAAAAAGCAGCAGAAGAAAAGUGAAAGGGAAAAUUGGAAAAGAAGUCAAGACAGUGAGGAAAUCAAGAAGAGACAGAAGGGAG